rnacentral:tRNA from 1 species
GGCCUUGUGGUGUAUUACAUAUUAGACUGCAAACCUAAAGUUGCAGAUAGUAAGUCUGCCGGGGCUU